CCACACGACUCUCGGCAACGGAUAUCUCGGCUCUCGCAUCGAUGAAGAACGUAGCGAAAUGCGAUACCUGGUGUGAAUUGCAGAAUCCCGCGAACCAUCGAGUCUUUGAACGCAAGUUGCGCCCGAGGCCAUUCGGCCGAGGGCACGCCUGCUUGGGCGUCACG
rnacentral:rRNA from 1 species